UGACACAUCUGUACAGGGACAUGCAUACAUAACCCAACAAUGCUGGUGUUUGUCAGUAAAUGUGUGUAGAUGAGUCGUAGAAAGCUACAUGGACUCCAUUACACCGUGUGACAUUUCCCCGAGGGACCAACACAUCAGCAAAGAAGGAUACAUGCCGGUGAAUAAAUGUGCCCGAAGCAAUAGCAAGCUACCAAAGCUCAGUGG
rnacentral:lncRNA from 1 species